rnacentral:rRNA from 1 species
UACGUAGGGCGCAAGCGUUGUCCGGAAUUAUUGGGCGUAAAGGGUAUGUAGGUGGUCUCAUUUGUCUGGGGUGAAAGCCUUGAGCUUAACUCAAGAAGUGCCCCAGAAACGGUGAGACUGGAGUCCUGGAGAGGGUCGUGGAAUUCCCGGUGUAGCGGUGAAAUGCGUAGAGAUCGGGAGGAACACCAGAGGCGAAAGCGGCGACCUGGACAGGCACUGACACUCAACUACGAAAGCGUGGGGAGCAAACAGG